rnacentral:rRNA from 1 species
GACGAACGCUGGCGGCGUGCCUAAUACAUGCAAGUUGAGCGAUGAAGAUUGGUGCUUGCACCAAUUUGAAGAGCAGCGAACGGGUGAGUAACGCGUGGGGAAUCUGCCUUUGAGCGGGGGACAACAUUUGGAAACGAAUGCUAAUACCGCAUAACAACUUUAAACAUAAGUUUUAAGUUUGAAAGAUGCAAUUGCAUCACUCAAAGAUGAUCCCGCGUUGUAUUAGCUAGUUGGUGAGGUAAAGGCUCACCAGGGCGAUGAUACAUAGCCGACCUGAGAGGGUGAUCGGCCACAUUGGGACUGAGACACGGCCCAAACUCCUACGGGAGGCAGCAGUAGGGAAUCUUCGGCAAUGGACGAAAGUCUGACCGAGCAACGCCGCGUGAGUGAAGAAGGUUUUCGGAUCGUAAAACUCUGUUGGUAGAGAAGAACGUUGGUGAGAGUGGAAAGCUCAUCAAGUGACGGUAACGACCCAGAAAGGGACGGCUAACUACGU